rnacentral:rRNA from 1 species
ACUCAAAUGAAUUGACGGGGGCCCGCACAAGCGGCGGAGCAUGCGGAUUAAUUCGAUGCAACGCGAAGAACCUUACCUGGGUUUGACAUCACCCGAAAACUCGCAGAGAUGUGGGGUCCUUCGGGGCGGGUGACAGGUGGUGCAUGGCUGUCGUCAGCUCGUGUCGUGAGAUGUUGGGUUAAGUCCCGCAACGAGCGCAACCCUCGUCCAAUGUUGCCAGCACGUGGUGGUGGGGACUCAUUGGAGACUGCCGGGGUCAACUCGGAGGAAGGUGGGGAUGACGUCAAGUCAUCAUGCCCCUUAUGUCCAGGGCUUCACGCAUGCUACAAUGGCCGGUACAAACCGUGGCGAGCCCGUGAGGGGGAGCGAAUCGGAAAAAGCCGGUCUCAGUUCGGAUCGGGGUCUGCAACUCGACCCCGUGAAGUCGGAGUCGCUAGUAAUCGCAGAUCAGCAACGCUGCGGUGAAUACGUUCCCGGGCCUUGUACACACCGCCCGU